UCUGUAGUCCACAUGAGGGUACACAUGUACACCAUGCACGUGAGAUUGCAGAUUUCGCAAGCGAGCAGUGUCUAUUAGUCCAUUCAAGUGCAGUUGCCCUCCUUGUGGUCUGGACUGAAGGUAUAAGAGGCAAUGCAGACUGACACCUCUCUAGUUCUGCUCUUACUGUGAAUCAUAAGGAUUCAAAGCAGAGGGGAAGGAGGGCACAUCUCAAACAACCUCCAGUUAUAGGUAGAACACCAAAGCUCAUCUGCCAUUCAGAGAGUGAAGUGUCCUUUCCUCAUUGGAACCAUGUAUGUGACUAGGUUGAUUUCUGAGAAACUCAGAAAUGACCUUAGGGAUGAAUUUUGGGUGAAGGUAAAGAGAAACUUUCUCCGUAUGAAAUAUGGUGUAUGGGGGCUGGGUGGAAGUCAACCAUGAGUGCUCCCAGUUCACUUGCCUUUCUGGCUGAAGUGAGGGCAACUAAAAAGACAACCUUCAUGGAAAGGUGGGACAUGGAACAUGUGGCCAGCAAUCCUAACUAGACCUUUCAGGAAUCUAAUUGUGGCAUGUGAGUAAAAAUAGAAUGGCCUUCUAUUGAAGGAUGGAAGGCACUGAUUUCCGGUACUCAGACCCCCAGUGAGCUAAUGGAGAGUCCUGAAGUUUUCAGGGCCAGGAGAUAGUGUAAAAUCGCAGGGUUAGCUCCAGAUUUCGGAGAUAACUAAUUACACUGAGCCCUGGUAAAGAAAUGCCUCCAUUUAUCCAGAUAACUUUCCUUCUUUGACUGAGAAUAGACUUCAAGCAUGGACAUCAGAUCUAGAAUGCUCAUCCAAAUACCAGGCCAUGAGGUGAAGGGGGGCCUGGGUUGAGAUGCCUGGUCUUGACAUUCUCCUGAGUUAAUAGAUCUGGGAAGAUCAGAUGCAGAUGGAAGGACAGGCUGAUAUUCACAGGUCUGGAAAACAGAAUUGUCUGGGCCAGUUGAGUGCAGCUUUGUUUACUCCUGGGGGAAUUCUGCGCAACCCCCCCCCCCAAAUUCUGCACACAAUAUUUUAAAAUUCUGCAAAAUUCUGCAUAUUUUGUCAAAACAACACAAUAUAACCACACCAGUUUCUAUUAUUUUUGGUCAUUUAUUUCAAAACCCUGGUCAGCAAGUAUGUCUGUAACAAUACAGACAACAAAAAAGAUUCAGGAAAUGUUUUUUGACAAAUAGAUUCCUUACUAGACAUAUUAAUACAGAACUCGGAGUAAUAAAUCAUUUAAACUACAAUACAGAACCGUAUUUCCCACACUCCUCAGAAGCAGUACAAAGGCUUGGGGGAGUCAGGGGUAAGAGAGGAGCUGAGGGAGAGGAAAGUAAGUUGCUGGGAAAGAGCCUGGGUUGUGAACUUGGAGGGUUGUUGUGUAUGGGUGGGAAAAGUAUGGAACAGGUUUGGGGGGGGGGGGCAGGGAGGGAUUGUUAGGGAGCCCCAUGCAGACCCUGGCUGACCCCUAGCCUCUCCCAUUCAGUCAGGCACAUCUGCCCCUGUCCCCAUGUGUUCUUGCACCCUCUGUCCACAUGUGUCCCUUCACCCCCACUCAGACACCCACUCCCCACAUCCCCAUGUGGCCCUGCACCCCCUCCUCCUAUGUGGCUCUAUACCCCCCACCCCAUCCCCAUGUGUCUCUGUGCCCCCACCCAGCCACCCCCUGUCCCUAUGUAGCUCUGAACCCCCCAUCACCAGUUGGCCCUGCACCUCCCUCCCCCCUGUGGCCAUGUGCCUCCACUCCCAUUCAGCCCCUGCUCCAGUCUGUCCUCCCCCAUGAGCCCUUAUGAGCCCCUCUCUGACCCUUCAGCAUGCCACGCUGUCUGUCUCCCCAUGGCUCCUGUCUCUGACCUGACAGGCACUGUGAAGAAGUCAGGCUCUCUCUUCCUUAGCUGGUCAGGAGCUGCUGCUUUGUUCUAUCGCCACAGCGCCCUCUGGUGUGCAAAAGGCAGAACUGCAGAAGUUAUUUUCUGCUGGGAGCUGCUGCUGUUCUUGAAUCACAGCGCCCUCUGGUGAGCAAAAGAAUGAAGGUUGAGAAUGAUCUCCAUUCUCUGUUUUUCUUGGGCACCAUGAAAAAGGGGCAUAGAACUCUUUCCCUUGGUGCUGAAGUGGUACUUGUUCUAUGGCCCCUUUUUGGAGGAGUGCACUUGCAUCCUGACGGAGAAUCGCCUUUUGAGAGUGGUCCCUGAAAAGGGCCCCAGGAAGAGGGUUUGGGGGUAGGAAGGAAGAAAAACUCUACAGAGUAGCCAAAGGGAAUGAUUUCCAGCACCCACUUGUUGGUUGUGAUUACUCUCCAAUUUUGGGUGGAAAGAGCAAGACAGCCACCAAAUGUUUGGGCGGGGGGGGAGUAGUGGAUGGCAUCAGUAGGGGUAGGCAGUCUUCAAUCAUCCUGUCAGAAGUAAUCCCUGGAUGGUAGAUAGGGUUGAGUAGUUGGAGUUAUGGUAGAGGGAGCAAUAUACUGAGGUUUUUGUACCAAGAUUUGCAUUGUGGUUUGAAUGGGUGCUAGUGGUAGAAUGGCUGACAAGGCGGUCUCAGAUUUUACUCCUGCUUAUGAGGUUUUCUCUUUGGGGUGUAAAUGCCCAGGGUUCUGAGAGUUGCCCUAGAGUCUUUCAAUGAAUGUAGAGACUAGUGAGUCAUCUUACUGAGAGAGAUUAGACUCAAAGGGCAAGUCCUCCAUGGUAUUCUGAACCUCCCUGGAGUGCAGCCAACAUCCAUACCUCUGAACUAUUCCUAUGUCUUUCCCUCUAGAUGUGGUUUCAGCAACAUCCAUUGCAGUUUGAAAAGAUGUUUUGGCUACCAGUUUGCCUUCCUUAAUCAGGGCUAUAAAUUGGGCCCCAUCCUCCUGAGGGGGUUUGUACCUGAAGUCUAAACUCCGAGUAAUUGUUAGCAAAAUAGGAUUUCAACAAGGCCUCAUAGUUAGCAAUUAGAAACUGAACAUUGAUAGAAGAAAAUGCCUUCCCCCUUAGAUGGUCAAGUCAUUUAGAGCCCUUCUCCACAAGUGUUGCUUUGGAAUGCUGUAGCCUACAUCUCUCAGUGGCUGCUUGUACCAAAAGGGACUUGGACAUGUGAAGAGAAACUCCACUUCUUUGGCUGAUACAAAAUAUUGUGUUUCAGCCCUUUUCAGGGUGGGGGUGCAGAAGAUCGGAAUAUGCCAAACUACCUUGGUUGGUUCCAUGAUGGCCUUGUUUGCUGGGAGGGCCACUCGGCUGGGACCAGAAGAUUGCAAGAUGUCAACGAGCUGAUGCUGAGUAUCUUGGACCUCCUUGAAUGAAAUCUGGCACUUAUUUGCCAUUCUCUGCAGGAGCUCAACAAUGGUUGUGGUCAUCAGAUGGGGAUGGCAAUGAUGGGACAAUUCUCUCCUCGGUUCUGAAGAAGAAGAAGAAACGCAAAGGUCUCUACAGACAAAGGAUUCUGACUCAGGCUAUGUGGCAGUAAGAAGAAACUGCAGAGCUGUUGGUCUGCACCGCUCCUUAAGCCAUCAGUCCAGACAGAGCAUGAAGAGGGCAACUGCACAGGCAUAGACCAAUGGACACUGCUGGCUAGAAAUUUCCAAUCUCAGGCACAUGGGGGCACGAGCACUCAAGGAAAAAUGGAUAUUUAUUCAAAUGUUUUAUAUAUACAAAAA